rnacentral:rRNA from 1 species
AUGAUCUUCGCACGUGGAGACCGUCGUGUUGUUUCUAAAAGAAAUGAUCUUCGUACGUGGAGCUGCAGCUGGCUAAUUUCAUCCACGACAGAUGACUGUGAUCAAGAGCAUCUCCACGGAGGCGAAGAGAGGCAACCACCCGGAUUAAUGUUGAAUCUUCAGCAUAGCCUAGUCACUAAGAAGUAUUUAUUUAAGGUGGCAUGGGGAUGGCACCUCUCGCCAUCGCGUGGACUUUUCCACUUUGUGAUUUGUGCUACUGCUUUGCGUGAAUUGAAUAACAUUUCUGUCAUCUUUUCUUAA